GUCACCACACCCGGUCAUUAGUAUCUAUUAGCUCAUUCAAUCUUGAGUCAGUGUUUGUUUCACAGAUGAACUAACAUAUGUGGCUCUUUGCACAGUGUUACCCAGAACCAAAUUAACCCAAAUGACGAUAACAGCAGGACUUUUAAAUCAUGGCCAUACCACUCUGAAAAUGAACCCAAUCUUGUCUGAUAAAGGAUGGAUUUGGGCAAUCCAGUAAAGAAAACGCCAGCAUUGAGUGGCCUCAUGAAUAUGAAGAUAUCUGGAAAAUCUUCACUACACAGCAUGAUUUCAGGAAUGAUGAAACAAUAAAUGAGAAUCUGGUAUUAAUAAUCUGUGGGUUUUAAAUUGUAUGCCAUCUGAAGAUGUUAGGACCAGUAAUUUCAUGUAUCCUACAAAGUGGAACAUGCCGUAGGGCACAGAGAUUCGUGAUUCAUGAGGAGGUUGGAUGUCUGACGAUAAACGUCCACGCACACAAUUUGAGCCUUUGGUGCUUACUGGCUGUACUAUGGUAAUGCCUCAUUAAUUCAAACCUCUCAAAGCCAGAUUUUGGAAUGAAUCAGGUUGAAAAGAUUGAGAGCUGAUGCCUGCCUUUGCGUAAUUGACAGCCUUUGCUCAGCAAAUUAAGUCGCUUAUAGUUGAUGACCAAAGAAAAUGCAGAGUAUCUGAGAAGCACAAAAUAGGAAGGGUGAACCAUCAGAACAGACUUUCUACAGCCCUCAGAGCAAGGUGUUAUUAUUCCACAGUACGUUCUAGAAAGGAUGUCUGAGCUGCCUUUCUUGUCGAAUAUCAUCUUCUUUCAGAGCACCCCACCCAUUUAUCUUUUAUAAAGGUCAGAACUGGAAUAAAACUGUGUGAAGAGUUUUUUUUUUGUUGUUUUUUUUUUAAGACAGAGGCUCGCUCUGCCACCCAGGCUGGAGUGCAGUGGCUUACUGCAACCUCCACUUCCUGGGUUCAAGCAAUUCUCAUGGCCCAGCCUCCCAGGAAGCUGGGAUUACAGGCAUGCACCACCAUGCCUAAUUUUUGUAUUUUUAGUAGAGACAGGGUUUCACCAUGUUGGCCAGGCUGGUCUCAAACUCCUGGCCUCAGGUGAUCUAUCCGCCUUUGCUUCCCAAAGUGCUGGGAUUACAGGCACGAGCCACCAUGCCUGACCUGCAAAGAGAUGUUUUAAUAAAGACGAUCCAAAGUUGCUUUGUUAUCUCAGUUAAGAAGGAAGAAGGCAGAGGAACAGUUUUCUUCCCAUGGGCAGACAAAGUACUUCUUCUAGAAAGACUUCAGACAACAUCUCUCCACUUGUCUUAAGUAGAAUGUGCAAAGUCUUCUCUCCACAACUACUUACCCUUGCAACUAUCACUCUGGUUGUAGAGAUGGAGUGAUGAGCUUCCACUCUGUGUCCCCACCCAAAUCUCAUCUUAAAUUGUAAUCCUCACAUAUGGAGAGAGGAAAGUGAUUGGAUCAUGAGUGUAGUUUCCCCAUGCUGUUCUCAUGGUAGUGAGUGAGUUUUUAUGAGAUCGGAUGGUUUUGUAAGUGUCUGGCAUUUUCCCUGCUUGCGCUUCUCUCUCCUGCCGCCAUGUGAAGAAGGAUCUUGCCUCCCCUUCACCUUACACCAUGAUUGCAAGUAGCCUUGGCUGAAACUUUCUGCAUCUGGUACUCUGAUAAAUUUCCCUGUAUAUCAGCCAGAAUGUUUUCUGGUCAGACUAGAACUUGGAGCAAAAGAGGGAAGAGCAAAGGCCCACUGGGACCCUGCUAUUCUGGGACACACAGCUUGGUGGCCGGGUGGCCUGGCGGCCUGGCUUAUACCUGCCCUUUCCCCAGAAGUAAUUUGUCAUUCUGUCUGCUCUUGUUCUCAAGAAAUGUAAGUGCUUUAGUGAAAAGCUGCUGCCCAAUACACACCAAUGUGUGUGCUUUCAGGCAGACACUGGACACACCAAGGCCAUGAAGUCCCUUGUGGAAUAGAAGUGUGUUGAGUCCAGCACUGAGAAGCCAAAGACUUGGUCUCCAACAAGACUCCUGAACAUUUAGAACAUGGUUCCCUUCCCUCUUAUGGCAUAAAUGGGACUGCAAAAUGCUUCUCAAUGAAUAAUCGCCACUUUUCCUCCUUUGCUUUGUAAUGACAGUAUUUCAUGGAAAAGAAUCUUGUCAUAUCAUAUAUCUAUGUGAAUCUUUCCAGUGAAUUAAUUGUGCAAAUUCCUGCUCUGCUAGAGAAAUAAAUACUUCUG